rnacentral:rRNA from 1 species
CAGUGGCGAACGGGUGAGUAACACGUGAGCAAUCUGCCCCUGACUCGGGAUAAGCGCUGGAAACGGCGUCUAAUACCGGAUACGAGCUGCGACCGCAUGGUCAGUAGCUGGAAAAAUUUCGGUCAGGGAUGAGCUCGCGGCCUAUCAGCUUGUUGGUGAGGUAAUGGCUCACCAGGCGUCGACGGGUAGCCGGCCUGAGAGGGUGACCGGCCACACUGGGACUGAGACACGGCCCAGACCCUACGGGAGGCAGCAGUGGGGAAUAUUGCACAAUGGGCGAAAGCCUGAUGCAGCAACGCGCGUGAGGGAUGACGGCCUUCGGGUUGUAAACCUCUUUUAGCAGGGAAGAAGCGAAAGUGACGGUACCUGCAGAAAAAGCGCCGGCUAACUACGUGCCAGCAGCCGCGGUAAUACGUAGGGCGCAAGCGUUAUCCGGAAUUAUUGGGCGUAAAGAGCUCGUAGGCGGUCUGUCGCGUCUGCUGUGAAAACCCGAGGCUCAACCUCGGGCCUGCAGUGGGUACGGGCAGACUAGAGUCCGUAGGGGUGAUAGUACUUCGUGGUGUAGCGGAGGAAGGCGCAGUCAUCAGGAGGAACACCGAUGGCGAAGGCAGAUCUCUGGGCCGUAACUGACGAUGAGGAGCGAAAGGGUGGGCAGCAAACAGUCUUAGAUACCCUGGUAGUCCACCCCGUAAACGUUGGGAACUAGUUGUGGGGUCUAUUCCACGGAUUCCGUGACGCAGCUAACGCAAUAAGUUCCCCGCCUGGGGAGUACGGCCGCAAGGCUAAAACUCAAAGGAAUUGACGGGGACCCGCACAAGCGGCGGAGCAUGCGGAUUAAUUCGAUGCAACGCGAAGAACCUUACCAAGGCUUGACAUAUAGAGGAAACGGCUGGAAACAGUCGCCCCGCAAGGUCUCUAUACAGGUGGUGCAUGGUUGUCGUCAGCUCGUGUCGUGAGAUGUUGGGUUAAGUCCCGCAACGAGCGCAACCCUCGUUCUAUGUUGCCAGCACGUAAUGGUGGGAACUCAUGGGAUACUGCCGGGGUCAACUCGGAGGAAGGUGGGGAUGACGUCAAAUCAUCAUGCCCCUUAUGUCUUGGGCUUCACGCAUGCUACAAUGGCCGGUACAAAGGGCUGCAAUACCGUGAGGUGGAGCGAAUCCCAAAAAGCCGGUCCCAGUUCGGAUUGAGGUCUGCAACUCGACCUCAUGAAGUCGGAGUCGCUAGUAAUCGCAGAUCAGUACCGCCCAAGAUA